rnacentral:rRNA from 1 species
CGCGUAGGCGGCCAGAUAAGUCCGGUGUGAAAGUCACAGGCUCAACCUGUGAAUGCCGCUGGAAACUGUCUGGCUAGAGUCCGGAAGGGGCGAGUGGAAUUCCUGGUGUAGCGGUGAAAUGCGCAGAUAUCAGGAGGAACACCGAUGGCGAAGGCAGCUCGCUGGGACGGUACUGACGCUGAGGCGCGAAAGCGUGGGGAGCAAACA